rfam:Triticum aestivum genome assembly, contig: Triticum_aestivum_CS42_TGACv1_scaffold_348549_4DL
AAAGUACUCCCUCCGUCCCAAAAUUCUUGUCUUAGAUUUGUCUAGAUACGGAUGUAUCAAGUCACAUUUUAGUAUUAGAUACAUCCGUAUCUACACAAAUCUAAGUCAAGAAAUUUGGGACAGAGGGAUUAGUUG